AGGAAGAUCUACAUGAUGCCCAGUGCCUGAAUAAAACACUUAAAUUAGAACAUAAAUCUAUGUUUAAAAAGUGUGAACAACUACUGGAAGAAAAACAACACUGGGCUGGGAAAAGGGAUGAGAUGGUGGCAAACUUGAAUUUCUGGAAAAUAAUCGGAUGGCAAAGAAAAACCUUGAGAAAGAAAUGGAAAAUCUUGAAGACAGGCUUGGAAUGACAUCAAAACUGCAAUGGAAAAUCUGCUUUAAAAAAACCCCAAGAAUGAAACACAAGCAAGCUGACCUUGGAAGGGAGAAACCCAAGAGGAGUAUAUACAAUAU